rnacentral:rRNA from 1 species
GACGAACGCUGGCGGCGUGCUUAACACAUGCAAGUCGAACGGAAAGGCCCUGCUUGCAGGGUACUCGAGUGGCGAACGGGUGAGUAACACGUGGGUGAUCUGCCCUGCACUUCGGGAUAAGCCUGGGAAACUGGGUCUAAUACCGGAUAGGAGCCAUUUUUAGUGUGAUGGUUGGAAAGUUUUUUCGGUGUAGGAUGAGCUCGCGGCCUAUCAGCUUGUUGGUGGGGUAAUGGCCUACCAAGGCGGCGACGGGUAGCCGGCCUGAGAGGGUGGACGGCCACAUUGGGACUGAGAUACGGCCCAGACUCCCACGGGAGGCAGCAGUGGGGAAUAUUGCACAAUGGGCGCAAGCCUGAUGCAGCGACGCCGCGUGGGGGAUGACGGCCUUCGGGUUGUAAACUCCCUUCGCUAGGGACGAAGCUUUUUGUGACGGUACCUAGAUAAGAAGCACCGGCUAACUACGUG